AAUGAACUGAUUGGAAAACACGGUCAAACCUCACAGUGUAUAGCAAACAUCAAUGAUUCUGAUAUUCCAGUAAUGUCACGUCAGCAAGCGUUACAUUCCUAUCAGUCAUUAUUCUGUAGAAGGUGUUACAAGUAUGACUGCUACAAACAUGGUUCAGAGCCAGUUCCAUUACCUGUUAAUCAUUUAGUAAGUCACACUAUACCUGCACAUGUACAUG